rnacentral:rRNA from 1 species
AGAGCGAACGCUGGCGGCAGGCUUAACACAUGCAAGUCGAGCGCCCCGCAAGGGGAGCGGCAGACGGGAGAGUAACACGUGGGAACGUACCUUUCGGUUCGGAACAACCCAGGGAAACUUGGGCUAAUACCGGAUACGUCCGUAAGGAGAAAGAUUUAUCGCCGAAAGAUCGGCCCGCGUCUGAUUAGCUAGUUGGUGAGGUAACGGCUCACCAAGGCGACGAUCAGUAGCUGGUCUGAGAGGAUGAUCAGCCUCACUGGGACUGAGACACGGCCCAGACUCCUACGGGAGGCAGCAGUGGGGAAUAUUGGACAAUGGGCGCAAGCCUGAUCCAGCCAUGCCGCGUGGGUGAUGAAGGCCCUAGGGUUGUAAAGCCCUUUCGGCGGGAAGAUAAUGACGGUACCGCAGAAGAAGCCCGGCUAACUUCGUGCCAGCAGCCGC